rnacentral:rRNA from 1 species
GAUGAACGCUGGCGGCGUGCCUAACACACGCAAGUCGAGCGAUUUACUUCGGUAAAGAGCGGCGGACGGGUGAGUAACGCGUGGGUAACCUGCCCUGUACACACGGAUAACAUACCGAAAGGUAUGCUAAUACGAGAUAAUAUGCUUUUAUCUCAUGGUAGAAGUAUCAAAGCUUUUGCGGUGCAGGAUGGACCCGCGUUUGAUUAGCUAGUUGGUAAGGUAACGGCUUACCAAGGCGACGAUCAGUAGCCGACCUGAGAGGGUGAUCGGCCACAUUGGAACUGAGACACGGUCCAAACUCCUACGGGAGGCGGCAGUGGGGAAUAUUGCACAAUGGGCGAAAGCCUGAUGCAGCAACGCCGCGUGAGCGAUGAAGGCCUUCGGGUCGUAAAGCUCUGUCCUCAAGGAAGAUAAUGACGGUACUUGAGGAGGAAGCCCCGGCUAACUACGUGCCAGCCGCCGCCGUAACAC